UGGGGAAUAUUGCACAAUGGGCGCAAGCCUGAUGCAGCGACGCCGCGUGGGGGAUGACGGCCUUCGGGUUGUAAACUCCUUUCGCUAGGGACGAAGCUUUUUGUGACGGUACCUAGAUAAGAAGCACCGGCUAACUACGUGCCAGCAGCCGCGGUAAUACGUAGGGUGCGAGCGUUGUCCGGAAUUACUGGGCGUAAAGGGCUCGUAGGUGGUUUGUCGCGUCGUCUGUGAAAUUCCGGGGCUUAACUCCGGGCGUGCAGGCGAUACGGGCAUAACUUGAGUACUGUAGGGGUAACUGGAAUUCCUGGUGUAGCGGUGAAAUGCGCAGAUAUCAGGAGGAACACCGAUGGCGAAGGCAGGUUACUGGGCAGUUACUGACGCUGAGGAGCGAAAGCAUGGGUAGCGAAAAGG
rnacentral:rRNA from 1 species